AUUAAACGCUGGCGGCAUGCCUUACACAUGCAAGUCGAACGGCAGCACGGGGGCAACCUUGGUGGCGAGUGGCGAACGGGUGAGUAAAGCAUCGGAACGUGCCCUGGAGUGGGGGAUAACGUAGCGAAAGUUACGCUAAUACCGCAUAUUCUGUGAGCAGGAAAGCAGGGGAUCGCAAGACCUUGCGCUCUGGGAGCGGCCGAUGUCGGAUUAGCUAGUUGGUGGGGUAAAGGCCUACCAAGGCGACGAUCCGUAGCGGGUCUGAGAGGAUGAUCCGCCACACUGGGACUGAGACACGGCCCAGACUCCUACGGGAGGCAGCAGUGGGGAAUUUUGGACAAUGGGGCGAAAGCCUGAUCCAGCCAUGCCGCGUGAGUGAAGAAGGCCUGG
rnacentral:rRNA from 1 species